AUUUAUUGGAGAGUUUGAUCCUGGCUCAGGACGAACGCUGGCGGCGUGCCUAAUACAUGCAAGUCGAGCGCGGGAAGCAGGCAGAUCCCUUCGGGGUGACGCAUGUGGAACGAGCGGCGGACGGGUGAGUAACACGUGGGCAACCUGCCUUGCAGACUGGGAUAACCCCGGGAAACCGGGGCUAAUACCGGAUGAUCAACCAAAU
rnacentral:rRNA from 1 species